rfam:Colletotrichum fioriniae PJ7 Scaffold_251.1, whole genome shotgun sequence.
GGCGAAGUGCCAGAGUGGUUAAUGGGUUUGACUCGAAUUAACUCUGUAUUUUCAGAGCCUUCUAUCAAAUGGCUUCGGCCGCGCAAGUUCGAAUCUUGUCUUCGUCG